rnacentral:lncRNA from 1 species
GCGAUUAUGUGGUCUGGUGUGGGUGUGUGUGUGUAUAUUCUGGUGUCCGUGUGCGGAAUCAGUGUGUGGGUGCUCAGUAUGCGUGCGUGUGUGCAGGUGGGUAUAUGUAUUCGUGUGUGGGCCCGAGUUGGCCGAGUUUUGACUACCUGGCUGUGUAGAUUAUUCGAGUGGCUCGAGUCCUGAAUUGAUUUUCUUAUACGUGUUUAUUUAUUAUUUCAUUUGCUGGUUCGUUUGACUGAUUAUCGAGGUUAGUUAGUAUUUAUAAAUUAAGUAUUUCGAUUAUUUCAGAGAUUGAUUACAGGUUUGUUGGGAUUGUUGUGUCGAUAUGAUAUCGACUGGUAGUCCGAUAAAUAGAGGAGGUGCUGCCCAAUUUUAAAUAAAAUUUAGAUUUUAAAAUUAUACGGGAGCGUAUCCUAUAAUUAUCAGGCUAUUAAUCGAAUNCAGGGGCGGAUCUAGGAAGAGGCACGCGGGGACACGUGUCCCCCCUAAAUCUUUUUUUUACAUUUUUUCACCAUUCUAAAUUUUACAAAAUUAUAAAAGUGCCCCCAAAAAAUUUAAAGGUGUAUAGGUGUUUUCCGAAAAUUUGCUUCGUGCCCCUCUAACAUUCGUGGGCUAGAUCCGCCCCUG